GUGUCAGCAGCCGCGGUAAAACGUAGGACGCAAACGUUAUCCGGAAUUACUGGGCGUAAAGGGCGCGCAGGCGGUUGGAUAAGUGAGGCAUGAAAGCCCCAUGGCUAAACCUGGGGAGGUUGUCUGAGACUGUCUGACUAGAGUGCGAUAGAGGGGUGUAGAAUUCCGCGUGUAGUGGUGAAAUGCGUAGAGAUGCGGAGGAAUACCAGAGGCGAAGGCGGCACCCUGGAUCGUAACUGACGCUGAGGCGCGAAAGCAUGGGUAGCGAACGGGAUUAGAAACCCUGGUAGUCC
rnacentral:rRNA from 1 species